rnacentral:rRNA from 1 species
GCCGGCAGCUAGCUCUCUGCAACUCUCACAUGGUCGCCCAAUGAAGCUAAGCAGAGCUGCACCUGGUUAGUAACUAGAAGGGAGAUCACAUGGGAAACUAGGUUGCUGCAGGAA